GACGAACCCUGGCGGCGUGCUUAACACAUGCAAGUCGAACGGAAAGGCCCUGCUUUUGUGGGGUGCUCGAGUGGCGAGCGGGUGAGUAACACGUGAGUAACCUGCCCUUGACUUUGGGAUAACUUCAGGAAACUGGGGCUAAUACCGGAUAGGAGCUCCUGCUGCAUGGUGGGGGUUGGAAAGUUUCGGCGGUUGGGGAUGGACUCGCGGCUUAUCAGCUUGUUGGUGGGGUAGUGGCUUACCAAGGCUUUGACGGGUAGCCGGCCUGAGAGGGUGACCGGCCACAUUGGGACUGAGAUACGGCCCAGACUCCUACGGGAGGCAGCAGUGGGGAAUAUUGCACAAUGGGCGGAAGCCUGAUGCAGCAACGCCGCGUGCGGGAUGACGGCCUUCGGGUUGUAAACCGCUUUCGCCUGUGACGAAGCGUGAGUGACGGUAAUGGGUAAAGAAGCACCGGCUAACUACGUGCCAGCAGCCGCGGUGAUACGUAGGGUGCGAGCGUUGUCCGGAUUUAUUGGGCGUAAAGGGCUCGUAGGUGGUUGAUCGCGUCGGAAGUGUAAUCUUGGGGCUUAACCCUGAGCGUGCUUUCGAUACGGGUUGACUUGAGGAAGGUAGGGGAGAAUGGAAUUCCUGGUGGAGCGGUGGAAUGCGCAGAUAUCAGGAGGAACACCAGUGGCGAAGGCGGUUCUCUGGGCCUCUCCUGACGCUGAGGAGCGAAAGCGUGGGGAGCGAACAGGCUUAGAUACCCUGGUAGUCCACGCUGUAAACGGUGGGUACUAGGUGUGGGGUCCAUUCCACGGGUUCCGUGCCGUAGCUAACGCUUUAAGUACCCCGCCUGGGGAGUACGGCCGCAAGGCUAAAACUCAAAGGAAUUGACGGGGCCCCGCACAAGCGGCGGAGCAUGCGGAUUAAUUCGAUGCAACGCGUAGAACCUUACCUGGGUUUGACAUGGAUCGGGAGUGCUCAGAGAUGGGUGUGCCUCUUUUGGGGUCGGUUCACAGGUGGUGCAUGCCUGUCGUCAGCUCGUGUCGUGAGAUGUUGGGUUAAGUCCCGCAACGAGCGCAACCCUUGUUCACUGUUGCCAGCACGUUAUGGUGGGGACUCAGUGGAGACCGCCGGGGUCAACUCGGAGGAAGGUGGGGAUGACGUCAAGUCCUCAUGCCCCUUAUGUCCAGGGCUUCACGCAUGCUACAAUGGCUGGUACAGAGAGUGGCGAGCCUGUGAGGGUGAGCGAAUCUCGGAAAGCCGGUCUCAGUUCGGAUUGGGGUCUGCAACUCGACCUCAUGAAGUCGGAGUCGCUAGUAAUCGCAAAGCAGCAACGCUGCGGUGAAUACGUUCCCGGGGCU
rnacentral:rRNA from 1 species